rnacentral:rRNA from 1 species
UGGGGAAUAUUGGACAAUGGGCGAAAGCCUGAUCCAGCCAUGCCGCGUGUGUGAAGAAGGCCUUUUGGUUGUAAAGCACUUUAAGUGGGGAGGAAAAGCUUGUGGUUAAUACCCAUAAGCCCUGACGUUACCCACAGAAUAAGCACCGGCUAACUCUGUGCCAGCAGCCGCGGUAAUACAGAGGGUGCAAGCGUUAAUCGGAAUUACUGGGCGUAAAGCGCGCGUAGGUGGUUAUUUAAGUCAGAUGUGAAAGCCCCGGGCUUAACCUGGGAACUGCAUCUGAUACUGGAUAACUAGAGUAGGUGAGAGGGGAGUAGAAUUCCAGGUGUAGCGGUGAAAUGCGUAGAGAUCUGGAGGAAUACCGAUGGCGAAGGCAGCUCCCUGGCAUCAUACUGACACUGAGGUGCGAAAGCGUGGGUAGCAAACAGGAUUAGAUACCCUGGUAGUCCACGCCGUAAACGAUGUCUACCAGUCGUUGGGUCUUUUAAAGACUUGGUGACGCAGUUAACGCAAUAAGUAGACCGCCUGGGGAGUACGGCCGCAAGGUUA